AUACAUUUCAGCAGGUCAUUUCCUGCGUAGAAUGGACAUAAGACUUCAACCUUCAUCACAGCUGGAAAGAAUCUCUAAGUUCCUCAAUGUUCAGUCUAGCCAGUACCUGUAACAGGUAGUUUACCUGUGUGAACUCAUCACUGCUAUGUGGGAACGGAUGCCAAGCUAUUCUUCAGAUUUGCCUAUGAGUGUAUGAAGACUGUCAAGAGCCUGCCAGACUGGGCAAGAAAUCCUGUUAGAAAGGGAUGACUUUUUUUUUUUUUUUUCCUCCGGGAGCUCUCCGGGAAAUGGGGCAAGGGUAGAUCAACCUUUGGUUGAUUUAGCUCUUCUGAUGAAUUAUACAGAUAGUCAGAAGAUUCAGUUAAGUAGAAAAACACAUGCCAAAAUAAGAAUAAAAGUUGAAAAGACAGGAAGGGCCUGGGGAUCAUGAGAAGAUUGUGAAGAAGGCAAGCAAAAAGGUAGCUGUGACAGUUGUACGUACUGUAGAGGUAAAGAAGAAAACCCCUUUGAGACCAGAGGCUGCUGAGGAAAGGUUUUCCAAGAAAUAUUUCUCAUCACUUCAGUGUCCAUGAGCUAUUAAAUCACUAUAAAG